rnacentral:rRNA from 1 species
GACGAACGCUGGCGGCGUGCUUAACACAUGCAAGUCGAACGGAAAGGCCCUGCUUUUGUGGGGUGCUCGAGUGGCGAACGGGUGAGUAACACGUGAGUAACCUGCCCUUGACUUUGGGAUAACUUCAGGAAACUGGGGCUAAUACCGGAUAGGAGCUCCUGCUGCAUGGUGGGGGUUGGAAAGUUUCGGCGGUUGGGGAUGGACUCGCGGCUUAUCAGCUUGUUGGUGGGGUAGUGGCUUACCAAGGCUUUGACGGGUAGCCGGCCUGAGAGGGUGACCGGCCACAUUGGGACUGGGAUACGGCCCAGACUCCUACGGGAGGCAGCAGUGGGGAAUAUUGCACAAUGGGCGGAAGCCUGAUGCAGCAACGCCGCGUGCGGGAUGACGGCCUUCGGGUUGUAAACCGCUUUCGCCUAUGACGAAGCGUGAGUGACGGUAAUGGGUAAAGAAGCACCGGCUAACUACGUG